AUUGAACGCUGGCGGCAGGCCUAACACAUGCAAGUCGAACGGUAGCACAGAGAGCUUGCUCUCGGGUGACGAGUGGCGGACGGGUGAGUAAUGUCUGGGAAACUGCCCGAUGGAGGGGGAUAACUGCUGGAAACGGUAGCUAAUACCGCAUAACGUCGCAAGACCAAAGUGGGGGACCUUCGGGCCUCACACCAUCGGAUGCGCCCAGAUGGGAUUAGCUAGUAGGUGGGGUAAUGGCUCACCUAGGCGACGAUCCCUAGCUGGUCUGAGAGGAUGACCACCCACACUGGAACUGAGACACGGUCCAGACUCCUACGGGAGGCAGCAGUGGGGAAUAUUGCACAAUGGGCGCAAGCCUGAUGCAGCCAUGCCGCGUGUAUGAAGAAGGCCUUCGGGUUGUAAAGUACUUUCAGCGGGGAGGAAGGCGGUGAAGUUAAUAACUUCACCGAUUGACGUUACCCGCAGAAGAAGCACCGGCUAACUCCGUGCCAGCCGCCGCUGUAA
rnacentral:rRNA from 1 species